rnacentral:rRNA from 1 species
GACGAACGCUGGCGGCGUGCUUAACACAUGCAAGUCGAACGGAAAGGCCCUGCUUUUGUGGGGUGCUCGAGUGGCGAACGGGUGAGUAACACGUGAGUAACCUGCCCUUGACUUUGGGAUAACUUCAGGAAACUGGGGCUAAUACCGGAUAGGAGCUCCUGCUGCAUGGUGGGGGUUGGAAAGUUUCGGCGGUUGGGGAUGGACUCGCGGCUUAUCAGCUUGUUGGUGGGGUAGUGGCUUACCAAGGCUUUGACGGGUAGCCGGCCUGAGAGGGUGACCGGCAACAUGGGGACUGAGAUACGGCCCAGACUCCUACGGGAGGCAGCAGUGGGGAAUAUUGCACAAUGGGCGGAAGCCUGAUGCAGCAACGCCGCGUGCGGGAUGACGGCCUUCGGGUUGUAAACCGCUUUCGCCUGUGACGAAGCGUGAGUGACGGUAAUGGGUAAAGAAGCACCGGCUAACUACGUG